rnacentral:rRNA from 1 species
CUCUACCCUUGUCUUUUGCGUACCUAUGUUUCCUCGGCAGGCUUGCCUGCGGGCUGGACAAUUCUAUAACCUUUUUAAUUUUUAAUCAGCGUCUGAAAAAACUUAAUAAUUACAACUUUCAACAACGGAUCUCUUGGUUCUGGCAUCGAUGAAGAACGCAGCGAAAUGCGAUAAGUAGUGUGAAUUGCAGAAUUCAGUGAAUCAUCGAAUCUUUGAACGCACAUUGCGCCCCUUGGAAUUCCAUGGGGCAUGCCUGUUCGAGCGUCAUUUGUACCUUCAAGCUUUGCUUGGUGUUGGGUGUUUGUCCUCUCCUUGGUGUUUGGACUCGCCUUAAAACAAUUGGCAGCCAGUGUUUUGGUAUUGAAGCGCAGCACAAGUCGCGAUUCUGACCUAGUAACACUUGCAUCCACAAGUCUUUUUAACUUUUGACCUCGGAUCAGGUCGGGAUAC